rnacentral:tmRNA from 1 species
GGGGACGACAUUGGUUUCGACUGUUGUUGGCUUGGAUGUAGUGGCACGCAGGGGUGACGGUCCCGCUUAAAAACCUUCAACUAUAAUAACUGCUAAUAACGAACUAGCACUAGCUGCCUAAAUAGGCGUCUACAGGUUUUAGAUCUGUUUCCUUUGGUGGACUAAGACCUGCAACUCUCAAAGGAUCCCAACCAGCCUUGAUCAGCAUAGCAGUUUGGGAACUAGAAGCUGAAUAAGGGAGGAAUACCACGGUCGUUGGUUCCACCUCUCCGACAAUCCAAAACGACAUAAGCGUGUAGAAGCUGCAUUUGAGGAUGAUAGGACCCGGGUUCGAAUCCCGGCGUCUCCAUAC